UCCAUCUGGCUCCAACAUCUGUAACCCCGUUGAUGGCCAGGAUUGAUUCUGCUGAUCUGGCAGGCUAGGCAUGUGUCCCCUUCCUCCGUCACUGCUCUGUGUGCUUCACUCCUGAAGCUGCAGGCUGAGUCAAAGAGGAAAACCUUCCAGUAACAGAGGAGGACCGGGCUUUGGUCAGGGGUAUAUGAAUAGCUGCACUCCCCUGCUAGAACCUCCAAACACCAGUCUGUUUCUAUGCCACUACCAUGCAGUUUUUUGUUUGUUU
rnacentral:sRNA from 1 species